rnacentral:lncRNA from 1 species
UUUCACCACCUUUGCCUGCCCCUCCACCGCCAGUGUUGUCUCCGCCUCCACCGGUUUACUUGCCACCACCGCCUCCACCACCAGUUUAUUCACCUCCUCCACCAGUUUAUUCGCCACCACCGCCACCACCUCCACCACCACCGGUUUAUUCACCUCCUCCACCAAUUUAUUCACCACCGCCGCCGCCACCUCCACCACCACCGGUUUAUUCACCUCCUCCACCACCUCCACCACCAGCACCGGUUUAUUCACCUCCACCGGUUUUCUCACCACCGCCACCAUCACCACCUCCUCCAGUUGUGUCACCACCACCACCAACUCCAUUGCCAACACCACCUUAUUGUGUACGCUCACCGCCACCUCCACCACCAAAUUCUCCACCUCCCCCGCCACCGCUUACUUACUCGCCUCCACCCCCUCCCCCUUCGCCCUACUAUUAUAAUUCACCACCACCACCACCUCCACCAAACUCACCACCACCUCCCCCACAAAACUCACCACCACCACCCGUUUACAUAUACUCAUCACCACCGCCCCCACCAGUAUACUCUUCAC